rnacentral:rRNA from 1 species
UACGUAGGGGGCAAGCGUUGUCCGGAUUCAUUGGGCGUAAAGAGCGUGUAGGCGGCCAGGUAGGUCGGUUGUGAAAACUGGAGGCUCAACCUUCAGAGGUCGACCCGAAACCAUCUGGCUAGAGUCCGGGAGAGGAGAGUGGAAUUCCUGGUGUAGCGGUGAAAUGCGCAGAUAUCAGGAAGAACACCCGUGGCGAAAGCGGCUCUCUGGAACGGUACUGACGCUGAGACGCGAAAGCGUGGGAGCGAACAGG